AUGAUCAGCCCACUUCUGUGUUCCCUGCAUUGAUGGUCUGACCCAUUAGGCUCACCCACUGCCCUUGGCCCUCCCCUCUUGUUCUAGCUUCUCUGGAUGGGUUCUACAACGGCCGUAGCCUGGAUGGUGAGUCCCCAUGCUUGAGAGCCGGAUAUAUGGUUCCCUGGUUCUUACGGCCCCCAGGCCAUGGGUUGCCAUAAACGAAAGGCAGAGAAAGAGCAGUUGGACCUAUCGGGGCAUUGAGUUUCUUAUCUACCAUAGCCAGCUAAUGGGAGCUGGUCUCUGAAUGUCUUUAAGAAGGGAGGGGACAUAGGCUCCAAGGAAUGGGGACAACAACUCUAAGCCAGUCCACCCUUUGCUUUCAGUUGCCAAGGCACCUGCCACCUCCAGUGCCCUGGAUGCUGCCCACAUGGCAGCUGCCAUCUUUCUACCAUUGGUGGCCAUGGUGUUGCUGGUGGGAGGAGUGUACCUCUAUUUCUCCAGACUCCAGGGAAAAAGUCCUCUGCAGCUUCCCGGAACUCAUCCUCGCCCCUAUAACCGUAUCACGGUAGAGUCAGCAUUUGACAAUCCAACUUAUGAGACCGGAGUGAGUAUCCAUGUUGGCCUAGAUACCUCUUCAGGACUCGUUCUUUGACCCCUUGGGUGGGUAUACCUCCCCAAGGUCUGCCAAACCUUUCCCCUUUGCCUUGGGAAGGUG
rnacentral:lncRNA from 1 species